rnacentral:rRNA from 1 species
AAGGGUGCGUAGGUGGCUUUUUAAGUUGGGGGUGAAAAGCUGUGGCUCAACCACGGUCUUGCCUUCAAAACUGGGGAGCUUGAGUGUAUAUGAAGUAGGCGGAAUGCGUAGUGUAGCGGUGAAAUGCAUAGAUAUUACGCAGAACUCCGAUUGCGAAGGCAGCUUACUAAGUUACAACUGACACUGAGGCACGAAAGCGUGGGGAGCAAACAGGAUUAGAUACCCUGGUAGUCCACGCUGUAAAC